rnacentral:rRNA from 1 species
UACACUCCUGCGGGAGGCAGCAGUAGGGAAUUUUGGACAAUGGGCGAAAGCCUGAUCCAGCAAUGCCGCGUGUGUGAAGAAGGCCUUCGGGUUGUAAAGCACUUUUGUCCGGAAAGAAAUCCUUGGCUCUAAUACAGUCGGGGGAUGACGGUACCGGAAGAAUAAGCACCGGCUAACUACGUGCCAGCAGCCGCGGUAAUACGUAGGGUGCGAGCGUUAAUCGGAAUUACUGGGCGUAAAGCGUGCGCAGGCGGUUUGCUAAGACCGAUGUGAAAUCCCCGGGCUCAACCUGGGAACUGCAUUGGUGACUGGCAGGCUAGAGUAUGGCAGAGGGGGGUAGAAUUCCACGUGUAGCAGUGAAAUGCGUAGAGAUGUGGAGGAAUACCGAUGGCGAAGGCAGCCCCCUGGGCCAAUACUGACGCUCAUGCACGAAAGCGUGGGGAGCAAACAGGAUUAGAAACCCUAGUAGUCC